CGGGACUAAAGUGGGUGGGUAGUUUCAAGCAGCGGGGUAAAUCUCUUGCUGUCCGGGAAGAGAAAACUGACUGUCUACUCACUCCCGGCUAUUUCUUCUGCAUAGUCAGCUCUCUCUGACUGCUGCAUUACAUCCAAGGAACAUGUGCGCACAGCGCUUGAUUCUCAAGAGUGCAGGCUGAGGAAAGUCAAAUGACAGACUUCUCCUUUGGACCAAUAGAAGCCCCUAAAUCCCAAGGCAGUCAUUUUGAUCAAGCUGAGUGCCUACAAGCCCCACUCACAUGUUUGGUCAAGAGGUAAACGCUCAGCAGAUGACAGUCCUCCUACCUCGGAUUGCAGGCGGAGAACCGGGGCUUUCCCAAUCCUCUGUGGUGAGAUACUUCCCGUGCUCUGCCUACUCAGCCCACCAAGGGAUUGUCAUUGCUUCCUGAUUGUAUGUGCUGCAUGGUGAUUCGGUGUGAAUACAUCUCUGUUUCUCAGUGACAUGGAGGAGGAACAGAUGAGUUAAAUGGAAUCAUUUUAUUUUACAUCACAUUAAAAAUACCGUGGCAACAGCAGACAAUAGACAAGAUUGGUAUUAGUCAGGCCACAAUAGAAUGUUCUAGAAUGCUUAAAAUCAUGCAUUCAUGCUAUUAAAGCAUUAGAUAAAAGUAAUAAAUAAAAGAAAAAUCUAACUACAAAGCCAAGAACAACCAAUGAAGAGCAAAAGAAAGAAGGUUUAAAAACUAAAUACACAAAACAAUUGAAAAAAAAAAAAAACACACACAAAAGUGUAAAAUAAGCAAUUGAAAAUAAAAUUAUAUUUUAACCGUAACAAUGGGAUUUACACAUACACUAGUGGUCUGACAAAGUAAAAAACGAUUUUAAUGUGUUGCACAGCACAGUAUAAAUUAGGGUCACUCAAGGAUAUUCUGUUUUUAUUAUAGGCUAAUAAUUUUAAUCUCUAUUUAUAUUCUUUUCUGUUUUUUAGUCCAGAUUUAAACUAAAUAGAUAACUGGAAAAACGACUACAUUUAUUUCCUACUUGAGCAACAUUUGCGUGGUUGUCUGUUGAUCCGAACUUUUUACAGGCCUUGGGGGUUGUAAAUGGAGCAUGUUACAUUUGUGACGUUUGGCCGCUGUUGGAGGCUGUUGAACGGAAACUGAUAUUAGUGCCAGAGAGUGCAUGUAAAAUCACAUUCGGAAUGGAUGACUGGUAACUAUCAGCAGUAAACAAAGGGCUUUGUUGAGCAAGAAAGAAAAAGUUGAUUCAAAAGUGCCAUGUGUCUGUGCUCCUAAAAGGGGCAGAUGUUACAAAUUACCAGCCAGUCUACUGCCUCUGAAAUCGCAGCUCAAAUGAGCAUCCUAAUGAGAGGCACUGUUUGCGGGUCAAAGAAAAGCCUAAUCACGCUAAGUCAAUUGACUUCUUCUGGAGCAAGAGAGCAUGCAAGCUCCAAAGCAGAUGACCUGCUGUCUGUUGCACUCCUGCAACCUCCUUUAUAUCUGUCUAAUCUUGUUUCUGUGGUUUUAAUCAUCUAGCCUUUUGACUAUGAUAUGACUCUAGCCAAUGAGGACAG